rnacentral:rRNA from 1 species
AGAGUUUGAUCAUGGCUCAGGAUGAACGCUAGCUACAGGCUUAACACAUGCAAGUCGAGGGGCAUCAGUUUGGUUUGCUUGCAAACCAAAGCUGGCGACCGGCGCACGGGUGAGUAACACGUAUCCAACCUGCCUCAUACUCGGGGAUAGCCUUUCGAAAGAAAGAUUAAUAUCCGAUAGCAUAUAUUUCCCGCAUGGGUUUUAUAUUAAGAAUUCGGUAUGAGAUGGGGAUGCGUUCAUUAGUUUGUUGGCGGGGUAACGCCACCAAGACUACGAUGGAUAGGGGUUCUGAGAGGAAGGUCCCCCACAUUGGAACUGAGACACGGUCCAAACGUCCUACGGGAGGCA